rnacentral:rRNA from 1 species
AUUGAACGCUGGCGGCAGGCCUAGCACAUGCAAGUCGAACGGUAACAGGAAGAAGCUUGCUUCUUUGCUGACGAGUGGCGGACGGGUGAGUAAUGUCUGGGAAACUGCCUGAUGGAGGGGGAUAACUACUGGAAACGGUAGCUAAUACCGCAUAACGUCGCAAGACCAAAGAGGGGGACCUUCGGGCCUCUUGCCAUCGGAUGUGCCCAGAUGGGAUUCGCUAGUAGGUGGGGUAACGGCUCACCUAGGCGACGAUCCCUAGCUGGUCUGAGAGGAUGACCAGCCACACUGGAACUGAGACACGGUCCAGACUCCUACGGGAGGCAGCAGUGGGGAAUAUUGCACAAUGGGCGCAAGCCUGAUGCAGCCAUGCCGCGUGUAUGAAGAAGGCCUUCGGGUUGUAAAGUACUUUCAGCGGGGAGGAAGGGAGUAAAGUUAAUACCUUUGCUCAUUGACGUUACCCGCAGAAGAAGCACCGGCUAACUCCGUG